rnacentral:lncRNA from 1 species
GUACGUGUUCGAAAAUCUAGGUUUAGAACUGAAUAGAGGGGAGAGAGUCGAGUGAAAACAGCAAAAAAAAAAUAGAGUUUUUUAGCUCCGGUGCGGCGGCGCCGCCGCGAUGGCUCGCCGGCCACCGCACCGGAGUCUGCUCCAACCACCCUUCUCGCCGGAGAAGAAGUUUGAGAGAGAAGAGAGAAUUUUGAGGUAAAGAGAGAGAAAUGUUUGUAAAAAUGAGUUAAAAAAACCGGUUACCACAUAUAUAUAGUACCCUAAACCGGUUCGGUUCUCCUGAACCGAUUCAGGCUUGAACCAAACCGGUUUAAGCCCACUAAGCGCGCCCAAGCCUCUCCAUGAAGCCCAAUUCUUUUUUUUUACUUCCUGCACCCCCCUGCUUACUACCUGCACCCCCAUCAUCUUUCUUUUUACCGUUUUCAUGCGUUUUUAAAUGCAUUUAUUUUUUCUUUAGCAUUUUUAUUUCUUUUAUCUUAUUAUUUAUCAGCAUUCACAUAUUUAUUUUAUAUCUUUUAUUUACUUGCAUUGAUUUAGAAUGUACAAUAGGCAUUGAUGUAAAUAAUUUAUUUAUUUCUUCUUGUCAUUUAUUUUCUGCAGACCUUAGAAUGUAAAUAGGCUUUUAUGUAAUAGUGUAGGUGCAUGUGUGUGUAUGCCUCUUAUCUGCUUUGUAGUUUAGGUCAAAGGUCCUUGUGGUGGUCCAAUACCCCAUGAGGUACNNNNNNNNNNNNNNNNNNNNNNNNNNNNNNNNNNNNNNNNNNNNNNNNNNNNNNNNNNNNNNNNNNNNNNNNNNNNNNNNNNNNNNNNNNNNNNNNNNNNCGACCGGGCUUACCACAUAUAUAUAGUACCCUAAACCGGUUCGGUUCUCCUGAACCGAUUCAGGCUUGAACCAAACCGGUUUAAGCCCACUAAGCGCGCCCAAGCCUCUCCAUGAAGCCCAAUUCUUUUUUUUUUAUUUCCUGCACCCCCCUGCUUACUACCUGCACCCCCAUCAUCUUUCUUUUUACCAUUUUCAUGCGUUUUUAAAUUUCCCUUGCAUUUAUUUUUUCUUUAGCAUUUUUAUUUCUUUUAUCUUAUUAUUUAUCAGCAUUCACAUAUUUAUUUUAUAUCUUUUAUUUACUUGCAUUGAUUUAGAAUGUACAAUAGGCAUUGAUGUAAAUAAUUUAUUUAUUUCUUCUUGUCAUUUAUUUUCUGCAGACCUUAGAAUGUAAAUAGGCUUUUAUGUAAUAGUGUAGGUGCAUGUGUGUGUAUGCCUCUUAUCUGCUUUGUAGUUUAGGUCAAAGGUCCUUGUGGUGGUCCAAUACCCCAUGAGGUACCUACGUUUUUUAUUUUUAUGCUCCGUUAGUUUAAUUUUUUAGUCCAAUUAUUCAAAAACAACAAAAACAUGCAAAUAACAAAAAUCACAAAAAUAUUUUCAUAAACAAACCUUGAUCCUAAAUCAAGUGAUCGUCUCUUUUUAUUUUUAUUUCUUUAAUCAAAUUUCAAUCAACUUUAAUUCAACUUUAAGUCAUUUUCUUUAAUAUAAAAAACACAAACAAAUUCUUAUUUGCCACUUGGCUUUUCAUUUUAAAACCUUUUUCAAAAUUAAUAAAAAAACACUCAACAAAUCAAACGUCGUUUUCUACCCCGAACUACGAGGUUUUGAUCCCUCACGGGUACGUAGGCAGAGGACCAUGUCCUUCCAAAUCAAUAAAAAAUGUAGAUAAUUAGGUCUUUAUUUUUCCACUUUAAUUCCUUCUUUUCAAAAAUAAGCAAGCAAGUUAUAGCACAUUAAUUAAAUAAAAUCAAGAGGUUCCCGUAGAGUACUACGGACAUAAGGGGUGCUAAUACCUUCCCUUUAUGUAACUAACCCCCGAACCCAAAAUCUUUUCAAAAUGGGGUAGUUUGAACUUUUUUUCCCCUCUUUCUUAAAAAAAAAUAUAAAUGUUCAGUCGUGAAAUAAAUUAGCGAGUCAAAAGCUAAUCAAAUAGCCUUGAUCUCCGAAAAAUGACGCGACACCAUGCCACUCAUAAAAAUCUUCAAAGAAUUCAAAAUGUCAUUUAUAGGAGAAGUGGCCAAAAGGAACUUGAAGUACUAUACUUCAAAAAAUGUAUCUCACAUCAAGCUUAGUGUUAAUCCUCUUGCUCAACCACUUCAUAACAUUCCCCUUCCAAUGGAAGCUUUCAACACGCAAGAAGAAGAAGAAAAUCCUCUUCACAGUCUAGUGAAUGCGAUAAUUGUCAACGACCAUUUGUCCUCUCAAUCUGCUCCAUCCAACUCUCAUGGUUCUCAAAAUCAUGAACUAGCCAACCAUUUUGCUCUCAAUGUAUCAACAGAUCUCAAACUCUUCACUGGUCUUGAAAAUUUUUCUACUCAAAUCAUUUAUGCCCCCUUGCCAAACGUUGAAAACUCUGCUCUGUUCGGCACCUCCUGUUUGAACAAGUUCAUUCACUCUCCAAAGAAUGACACUCUCCCUCUGAGUGAGAUGCCUCAAAUCCCUUCACACUUUAGCUCUUUUGAUAGCUUUAAAUCCACUGGAACAUCUCCUAAGAAUGAUCCUCCACAAGAACCUGAGAACUCAGUUAUCUCAAAUGGAAUGUUGUUUGCUGAAGUUACCUCUCUUCGUGGAGAUGUGAACAAUCUGCGUGAAUGUUUUGUUUCAUUCAUGUUUCAAUAUCUGGGCAUGAUGGCACCUGUUUCCAGCGGUGAUCCUGGUUCCUCAUCCAACCCACCUCCAAAUCCUCUGUAGCUUGCUCUGUUUCAAUAACUUGCUCUUUUUGACGAAGACAAAAGGGGGAGAAAGCAUGUGUUACAACACUGCAUGAACAAAUUUGAAAAAUGCUCCUUUUAUAUCUUUUGGGUGUAGACUAUUAAGCACAUGGGUGAACUUUGUUUACUUUGCUUAGUAUUUAUGUCUUAAUGUUUUUUAGUUUUUUUUUUUUGCCAAGUAUCCUAAAAAUGGACUUUUGAACUUUAGCAAUUUAUGGCUAAGAAUGGAACUUCAAGGUUAUAUGUAUUUUAGUCCCUUUCUAUGAUUAAUGCAAUGUUAUAUGUCCUUAUCUAUGUUCAAUGAAAGCUACC